rnacentral:rRNA from 1 species
GACGAACGCUGGCGGCGUGCUUAACACAUGCAAGUCGAACGGUAAGGCCCUUCGGGGUACACGAGUGGCGAACGGGUGAGUAACACGUGGGUGAUCUGCCCUGCACUUCGGGAUAAGCCUGGGAAACUGGGUCUAAUACCGGAUAGGACUCCGGACUGCAUGGGCUGGGGUGGAAAGCUUUUGCGGUGUGGGAUGGGGCCGCGGCCUAUCAGCUUGUUGGUGGGGUGAUGGCCUACCAAGGCGACGACGGGUAGCCGGCCUGAGAGGGUGACCGGCCACACUGGGACUGAGAUACGGCCCAGACUCCUACGGGAGGCAGCAGUGGGGAAUAUUGCACAAUGGGCGCAAGCCUGAUGCAGCGACGCCGCGUGAGGGAUGACGGCCUUCGGGUUGUAAACCUCUUUCAUCAUCGACGAAGCGAAAGUGACGGUAGGUGCAGAAGAAGGACCGGCCAACUACGUGCCAGCAGCCGCCGUAA